rfam:Spinacia oleracea cultivar SynViroflay scaffold30063.con0005.1, whole genome shotgun sequence.
AGCCUAUUAGCUCAAUAUGGUAGAGCGUUGUGUAACAAUAAACACACAAAGAUGUAGGUUCAAGUCCUACGUAGGCUA